ACGAACGCUGACGGCGUGCUUCACACAUGCAAGUCGAACGGUGAAGCGCCUUCCUUUUUGGUGGGUGUGGAUGAGUGGCGAACGGGUGAGUAACACGUGAGUAACCUGCCCCCUUCUUCUGGAUAACCGCAUGAAAGUGUGGCUAAUACGGGAUAUUCUGGGUCUGUCGCAUGAUGGGUCUGGGAAAGAUAUUGUUUCGGUGGGGGAUGGGCUCGCGGCCUAUCAGCUUGUUGGUGGGGUGAUGGCCUACCAAGGCGGUGACGGGUAGCCGGCCUGAGAGGGUGGACGGUCACACUGGGACUGAGACACGGCCCAGACUCCUACGGGAGGCAGCAGUGGGGAAUAUUGCACAAUGGGCGCAAGCCUGAUGCAGCGACGCCGCGUGAGGGAUGGAGGCCUUCGGGUUGUGAACCUCUUUCGCCAGUGACGCAGGCCUGCCUCGUUUGUGGGUGGGUUGACGGUAGCUGGAUAAGAAGCGCCGGCUAACUACGUG
rnacentral:rRNA from 1 species